AGUGAACGCUGGCGGCAGGCCUAACACAUGCAAGUCGAGCGGCAGCGGGAAAGUAGCUUGCUACUUUUGCCGGCGAGCGGCGGACGGGAGAGUAAUGCCUGGGAAAUUGCCCAGUCGAGGGGGAUAACAGUUGGAAACGACUGCUAAUACCGCAUAAGCCCUACGGGGGAAAGCAGGGGACCUUCGGGCCUUGCGCGAUUGGAUAUGCCCCGGUGGGAUUAGCUAGUUGGUGAGGUAAUGGCUCACCAAGGCGACGAUCCCUAGCUGGUCUGAGAGGAUGAUCAGCCACACUGGAACUGAGACACGGUCCAGACUCCUACGGGAGGCAGCAGUGGGGAAUAUUGCACAAUGGGGGAAACCCUGAUGCAGCCAUGCCGCGUGUGUGAAGAAGGCCUUCGGGUUGUAAAGCACUUUCAGCGAGGAGGAAAGGUUGAUGCCUAAUACGUAUCAACUGUGACGUUACUCGCAGAAGAAGCACCGGCUAACUCCGUGCCAGCCGCCGCCGUAAGAC
rnacentral:rRNA from 1 species